rnacentral:rRNA from 1 species
CCCUUAGUUGUUCUGGGCCGCACGCGCGCUACACUGACGAAUGCAACGAGCUUAUAACCUUGGCCGAAAGGUCUGGGUAAUCUCCAAAUUUCGUCGUGAUGGGGAUAGAUUAUUGCAAUUAUUAAUCUUCAACGAGGAAUGCCUAGUAAGCGCAAGUCAUCAGCUUGCGUUGAUUACGUCCCUGCCCUUUGUACACACCGCCCGUCGCUCCUACCGAUUGAAUGGUCCGGUGAAGCGUUCGGACCGUGGCCUUUGGACGGUUCGCCGUCUGUUGGCUGCGGGAAGUUCGUUAAACCUUAUCAUUUAGAGGAAGGAGAAGUCGUAACA